UACGAAGGGGGCUAGCGUUGUUCGGAAUUACUGGGCGUAAAGCGCACGUAGGCGGACUAUUAAGUCAGGGGUGAAAUCCCGGGGCUCAACCCCGGAACUGCCUUUGAUACUGGUAGUCUCGAGUCCGGAAGAGGUGAGUGGAAUUCCGAGUGUAGAGGUGAAAUUCGUAGAUAUUCGGAGGAACACCAGUGGCGAAGGCGGCUCACUGGUUCGGUACUGACGCUGAGGUGCGAAAGCGUGGGGAGCAAACAGG
rnacentral:rRNA from 1 species